rnacentral:rRNA from 1 species
AGUGAAUAGAUACCCGGGUAGUCCACGCUGUAAACGAUCAAUACUAGGUGUGCGGGGACUGACCCCCUGCGUGCCGGAGUUAAACACAAUAAGUAUUGCACCUGGGGAGUACGAUCGCAAGGUUGAAACUCAAAGGAAUUGACGGGGGCCCGCACAAGCGGUGGAUUAUGUGGUUUAAAUUCGAAGCAACGCGAAGAACCUUACCAGGGCUUGACAUCCUACUAAUGAAGCAGAGAUGCAUUAAGUGCCCUUCGGGGAAAGUAGAGACAGGUGGUGCAUGGUUGUCGUCAGCUCGUGUCGUGAGAUGUUGGGUUAAGUCCCGCAACGAGCGCAACCCCUAUUGUUAGUUGCUACGCAAGAGCACUCUAGCGAGACUGCCGUUGACAAAACGGAGGAAGUGGGGACGACGUCAAAUCAUCAUGCCCCUUAUGUCCUGGGCCACACAUGUAAUACAAUGGCGGUCAACAGAGGGAUGCUAAGCCGUGAGGUGGAGCGAACCCCUAAAAGCCGUCUCAGUUCGGAUUGCAGGCUGC